GUCGAGAAUCUUUCACAAUGGGGGCAACCCUGAUGGAGCGACGCCGCGUGGAGGAUAAGGUCUUCGGAUUGUAAACUCCUGUCAUGCGUGAACAAGGUUGCUUGGUUAAUACCUGGGCAAAUUGAUGGUAACGCAAGAGGAAGAGACGGCUAACUAUGUGCCAGCAGCCGCGGUAAUACAGAGGUCUCAAGCGUUGUUCGGAAUCACUGGGCGUAAAGGGUGCGUAGGUGGCGUGGUACGUCAGAUGUGAACGCCCGGGGCUCAACCUCGGAACUGCAUCCGGUACUGCCAUGCUAGAGUACUGGAGAGGUAACUAGACUUCUCGGUGUAGCAGUGAAAUGCGUAGAUAUCGAGAGGAAUACCAAAGGCGUAGGCAGGUCACUGGACAGUUAAUGACACUGAGGCACGAAUGCCAGGGGAGCGAACGGGAUUAGAUACCCGAGUAGUCC
rnacentral:rRNA from 1 species